GAUGAACGCUGACAGAAUGCUUAACACAUGCAAGUCUUUGGCGAAGCUGUGCUUGCACAGCCUAGCCAAGGCGGACGGGUGAGUAACGCGUAAGGAACUUGCCCUGCAGUCAGGGAUAACAGACGGAAACGACUGAUAAGACCUGGUAAAGUCAGGCGGACUCAUGUCCAGCCUGAUGAAAAGAGAUGCUGCAGGAGAGCCUUGCGUCCUAUUAGCUUGUUGGUGGGGUAACGGCCCACCAAGGCGAUGAUAGGUAGCCGGCCUGAGAGGGUGGACGGCCACAAGGGGACUGAGAUACGGCCCUUACUCCUACGGGAGGCAGCAGUGGGGAAUAGUGGACAAUGGGGGCAACCCUGAUCCAGCAAUUCUGUGUGCACGAUGAAGGUUUUCGGAGUGUAAAGUGCUUUCAGCAGGGAAGAAAAAAAUGACGGUACCUGCAGAAGAAGCGACGGCUAAAUACGUG
rnacentral:rRNA from 1 species